UGGCUCAGUGGUAGAGCACCUGCCUUGCAUGCAUGAGGACCUGGGUUCGAUUCCUCAG
rnacentral:tRNA from 1 species